GUGCUUGCUUCAGCAGCACAUAUACUAAAAUUGGAAGAAGAUUAGCAUGUCCCCUGCACAAGGAUGACGUGCAAAUUUGUGAAGUGUUUCAUAUUUUU
rnacentral:snRNA from 1 species